rnacentral:rRNA from 1 species
UCCAGCUGAUCCUGCUGGCGGAUACUGCUAUCGGAAUCCGAUUCAGCCAUGCAAGUCUAAGAGGCACAGUUAUGGGUGCUUCUGGCACACGGCUCAGUAACACGUAGUUAACCUACCCUUCGGAGAAGUAAAACCCGGGAAACUGGGCAUAAUGCUUCAUAAGUAAAAUAUACUGGAAGGUUUUUUUGCCGAAAGGCGCCACACCAUGCAAGUGGUUGCGCCGGGGGAUGGGACUGCGGCAGAUUAGGCUGUUGGCGGGGUAACUGCCCACCAAACCAUUGAUCUGUACGGGCCUUGAGAGAGGGAGCCCGGAGAAGGGUACUGAGACAAGGACCCUAGCCCUACGGGGUGCAGCAGGCGCGAAACUUCUACAAUGCACGAAAGUGUGAUAGAGGGAUUCCGAGUGCUAGUUUACUAGCUUUUGCCAAGUGUAAACAGCUUGGCGAAUAAGUGGGGGGUAAGAUACGUGCCAGCCGCCGCGGUAAUACGUACCCCACAAGUGGUAUCCUCUUAUAUUGGGCCUAAAGAGUUCGUAGCCGGCUUGAUAAGUCUGUGGUGAAAUCUGCCAGCCUAACUGGUAGAAUUGCUGGAGAUACUGUCAGGCUAUAGGUCGGGAGACGCCAGGGGAAUUUCCGGAGUAGCGGUGAAAUGUUGUGAUCCCGGAAGGACCACCAGUAGCGAAGGCGCUUGGCGAGUACGAACCUGACGGUGAGGAACGAAAGCUGAGGGAGCGACCGGGAUUAGAUACCCCGUUAGUCUCAGCCGUAAACGAUGUGGACUAGGUGUCCUAGCACUCACGUAGUGUGGGGGUGCCGAAGCGAAGGCGUUAAGUCCACCGCCUGGGGAGUACGCUCGCAAGGGUGAAACUUAAUGGAAUUGGCGGGGGCGCACUACAAGGGGUGGAUGCUGCGGUUUAAUUGGACUCAACGCCAGAUAACUCACCAGGGGCGACAGUAGAAUGAUGGUCAGUCCGAAGGGCUUACCUGACACGCUGAGAGGUGUUGUAUGGUCAUCGUCAGCUCGUACUAUGAAGCGUCCUGUCAACUCAGGCAACGGGCGAGACCCACAUCCUUAGUUGCGACUUUCCCUCACGGGGGAGGGGCACUCUAAGGGGACUGCAAGGAUAACCUUGAGGAAGGAGUGGGCAACGGUAGAUCUGUAUGGCCCGAAUCUCCUGGGCAACACGCGGCACACAAUGGUUGAUACAAUGGGCUUCUAACCCGAAAGGGCACGGUAAUCCCCUAACAUUAACCUCAGUUCGGAUCGAGGGCUGCAACCCGCUCUCGUGAAGCUGGAAUCCCCAGUAAUCGCGUGUCAUAAUCGCGCGGUGAAUAAGUCCCUGCGCCUUGCACACACCGCCCAUCAAGCCAGCUGAGUAGAGUCUGGAUGAGCCUCAACUCACCGAGUUGAGUCGAUUCUAGGUUCCGCAAGGCGGGCUAAGUUGUAACAAGGUG